UUAAAUGUUCUUCGUGAACAUAGCGAACUGCUCAGUAACACGUGGAUAACCUACCCUUAGGACCGGAAUAACCCCGGGAAACUGGGGAUAAUACCGGAUAAGCCAUAGACGCUGGAAUGCCCUAUGGUUCAAAGCUCCGGCGCCUAAGGAUGGAUCUGCGGUCUAUCAGGUUGUAGUGGGUGUAACGUACCUACUAGCCGACGACGGAUACGGGUUGUGAGAGCAAGAGCCCGGAGAUGGAUUCUGAGACACGAAUCCAGGCCCUACGGGGUGCAGCAGGCGCGAACACUUUACAAUGCGGGAAACCGCGAUAAGGGAACCCCGAGUGCCAGCAUCAAAUGUUGGCUGUCCAGAUGAUUAAAAAUCAUUUGUUAGCAAGGGCCGGGCAAGACCGGUGCCAGCCGCCGCGGUAACACCGGCGGCCCGAGUGGUAGCCGUUUUUAUUGGGUCUAAAGGGUCCGUAGCCGGCCUGAUAAGUCCUUUGGGAAAUCUGGCAGCUUAACUGUCAGGCUUCUAAGGGAUACUGUCAGGCUUGGGACCGGAAGAGGUAAGGGGUACUCCAGGGGUAGGAGUGAAAUCUUGUAAUCCCUGGGGGACCAUCUGUGGCGAAGGCGCCUUACCAGAACGGGUCCGACGGUGAGGGACGAAAGCUAGGGGAGCAAACCGGAUUAGAUACCCGGGUAGUCCUAGCUGUAAACGAUGCUCGCUAGGUGUCAGACACGGUGCGACCGUGUUUGGUGCCGCAGGGAAGCCGUUAAGCGAGCCACCUGGGAAGUACGGUCGCAAGGCUGAAACUUAAA
rnacentral:rRNA from 1 species